GGCUUUACGAUGUGUGCUAGGUGUUAGGGGUUUCGAUACCCUGUGGUGCCGAAGUUAACACAUUAAGCACUCCGCCUGGGGAGUACGGUCGCAAGACUGAAACUCAAAGGAAUUGACGGGGACCCGCACAAGCAGUGGAGUAUGUGGUUUAAUUCGAAGCAACGCGAAGAACCUUACCAGGUCUUGACAUCCCUCUGACCGGUACAGAGAUGUAUCUUUCCUUCGGGACAGAGGAGACAGGUGGUGCAUGGUUGUCGUCAGCUCGUGUCGUGAGAUGUUGGGUUAAGUCCCGCAACGAGCGCAACCCUUGAUCUUAGUUGCCAGCACUUCGGAUGGGCACUCUAAGGUGACUGCCGGUGACAAACCGGAGGAAGGUGGGGAUGACGUCAAAUCAUCAUGCCCCUUAUGACCUGGGCUACACACGUACUACAAUGGCCGGUACAACGGGCUGUGAAGCCGCGAGGUGGAACGAAUCCUAAAAAGCCGGUCUCAGUUCGGAUUGCAGGCUGCAACUCGCCUGCAUGAAGUCGGAAUUGCUAGUAAUCGCGGAUCAACAUGCCGCGGUGAAUACGUUCCCGGGUCUUGUACACACCGCCCGUCACACCACGAGAGUUUAUAACACCCGAAGUCGGUGGGGUAACCGCAAGGAGCCAGCCGCCGAAGGUGGGAUAGAUGAUUGGGGUGAAGUCUAAAAGGGGAACCACA
rnacentral:rRNA from 1 species